AGCGAAUUUUAAUCUCUCAAAUUUUAAAUCGCAGCUGUGUCUAGGCGAAAUUAAGACGGGGCGAAGCUGUUUAUUAAGAACAGGCGCGUGAAAAUUACAUUGAGCGAAAAUAGCAUUGUUCACAGUAGUUAUUGGAGAAUUUGCACAUUUAUUUGGCAAUUGCAUGGAUGGGACCAAGACUUGGUUAACUUACUGAAGAUGUUAUUUAAAUAAAAUGUCAAGUUAUUCGUAUAACCUCUAUAAGAUAUUUAAGUAAAUUUUUGAAAGGUGUCAAGUUCAUAUAUUUAUCACAGCCUUCCAUUAACAAUCGUAAAACACACUACAAGUUCUGCAUGGUUAAACAUAUUUGUUAUCAAAGUAUCAAUUGUUUUAAGAUUUAAUGUUCGUGGUAUUGAUUGAGAAUUAAUUUGAAUACUUUUUCACAGCAUCAAAGGCAACUACAAGCUUGAGUUUACCAUUGAACAAAGUGGGCUUUUAUAUUUUUCAUUGCAAAGAAUUAAAGAAUGUUGAGUUUGAAUUGCAGCGAAACAAUGUUAUGUCCACAUUUUUUCUUAAGUAAAGGCUUAUUUACAGCAGACUGUGAUCUUUCGCUCAAUAUGUUCUAAGACCAUAAUAAAAUUGUUUUAAUUUUUUUCUCUUCAUUGAUUUUAAAUUAAAAAGGUUGACAUGAUUGUAUAGAUUUCUGUGACUUGAUCCAAUUAUUUAUUUUCUGUAAAUAUUAAAUGUUUUAUGAUGUAUACCUUUUUUCUAUUGAUGUAGUAGUUCUUGCAUUAAUAUUGCUUAUAUGAUUCGUGAAUAAACAAUCAAUAUGCACA
rnacentral:sRNA from 1 species